rnacentral:rRNA from 1 species
UACGUAGGGACCAAGCGUUGUUCGGAUUUACUGGGCGUAAAGGGCGCGUAGGCGGCAUGACAAGUCACUUGUGAAAUCUCCGGGCUUAACUCGGAACGGCCAAGUGAUACUGCAGUACUAGAGUGCGGAAGGGCAAUCGGAAUUCUUGGUGUAGCGGUGAAAUGCGUAGAUAUCAAGAGGAACACCUGAGGUGAAGACGGGUUGCUGGGCCGACACUGACGCUGAUGCGCGAAAGCCAGGGGGAGCAAACGGG